rnacentral:rRNA from 1 species
UAGGGAAUCUUCGGCAAUGGACGGAAGUCUGACCGAGCAACGCCGCGUGAGUGAAGAAGGUUUUCGGAUCGUAAAGCUCUGUUGUUAGAGAAGAACGCUGGUAGGAGUGGAAAAUCUACCAAGUGACGGUAACUAACCAGAAAGGGACGGCUAACUACGUGCCAGCAGCCGCGGUAAUACGUAGGUCCCGAGCGUUGUCCGGAUUUAUUGGGCGUAAAGCGAGCGCAGGCGGUUCUUUAAGUCUGAAGUUAAAGGCAGUGGCUUAGCCAUUGUACGCUUUGGAAACUGGAGGACGUGAGUGCAGAAGGGGAGAGUGGAAUUCCAGGUGUAGCGGUGAAAUGCGUAGAUAUAUGGAGGAACACCGGUGGCGAAAGCGGCUCUCUGGUCUGUAACUGACGCUGAGGCUCGAAAGCGUGGGGAGCAAACAGG